rnacentral:rRNA from 1 species
GGUGAAAAGCACCCCGGAAGGGGAGUGAAAUAGAACCUGAAACCGUGUGCUUACAAGUAGUCAGAGCCCGUUAAUGGGUGAUGGCGUGCCUUUUGUAGAAUGAACCGGCGAGUUACGAUUUGAUGCAAGGUUAAGCAGUAAAUGUGGAGCCGUAGCGAAAGCGAGUCUGAAUAGGGCGUUUAGUAUUUGGUCGUAGACCCGAAACCAGGUGAUCUACCCUUGGUCAGGUUGAAGUUCAGGUAACACUGAAUGGAGGACCGAACCGACUUACGUUGAAAAGUGAGCGGAUGAACUGAGGGUAGCGGAGAAAUUCCAAUCGAACCUGGAGAUAGCUGGUUCUCUCCGAAAUAGCUUUAGGGCUAGCCUCAAGUGAUGAUUAUUGGAGGUAGAGCACUGUUUGGACGAGGGGCCCCUCUCGGGUUACCGAAUUCAGACAAACUCCGAAUGCCAAUUAAUUUAACUUGGGAGUCAGAACAUGGGUGAUAAGGUCCGUGUUCGAAAGGGAAACAGCCCAGACCACCAGCUAAGGUCCCAAAAUAUAUGUUAAGUGGAAAAGGAUGUGGCGUUGCCCAGACAACUAGGAUGUUGGCUUAGAAGCAGCCAUCAUUUAAAGAGUGCGUAAUAGCUCACUAGUCGAGUGACACUGCGCCGAAAAUGUACCGGGGCUAAACAUAUUACCGAAGCUGUGGAUUGUCCUUUGGACAAUGGUAGGAGAGCGUUCUAAGGGCGUUGAAGCAUGAUCGUAAGGACAUGUGGAGCGCUUAGAAGUGAGAAUGCCGGUGUGAGUAGCGAAAGACGGGUGAGAAUCCCGUCCACCGAUUGACUAAGGUUUCCAGAGGAAGGCUCGUCCGCUCUGGGUUAGUCGGGUCCUAAGCUGAGGCCGACAGGCGUAGGCGAUGGAUAACAGGUUGAUAUUCCUGUACCACCUAUAAUCGUUUUAAUCGAUGGGGGGACGCAGUAGGAUAGGCGAAGCGUGCGAUUGGAUUGCACGUCUAAGCAGUAAGGCUGAGUAUUAGGCAAAUCCGGUACUCAUUAAGGCUGAGCUGUGAUGGGGAGAAGACAUUGUGUCUUCGAGUCGUUGAUUUCACACUGCCGAGAAAAGCCUCUAGAUAGAAAAUAGGUGCCCGUACCGCAAACCGACACAGGUAGUCAAGAUGAGAAUUCUAAGGUGAGCGAGCGAACUCUCGUUAAGGAACUCGGCAAAAUGACCCCGUAACUUCGGGAGAAGGGGUGCUCUUUAGGGUUAACGCCCAGAAGAGCCGCAGUGAAUAGGCCCAAGCGACUGUUUAUCAAAAACACAGGUCUCUGCUAAACCGU